rnacentral:misc_RNA from 1 species
AAGUCGUAACAAGGUCUCCGUUGGUGAACCAGCGGAGGGAUCAUUACCGAGUUAUACAACUCAUCAACCCUGUGAACAUACCUAAAACGUUGCCUCGGCGGGAACAGACGGCCCCGUAACACGGGCCGCCCCCGCCAGAGGACCCCCUAACUCUGUUUCUAUAAUGUUUCUUCUGAGUAAACAAGCAAAUAAAUUAAAACUUUCAACAACGGAUCUCUUGGCUCUGGC